rnacentral:rRNA from 1 species
CGAACGUUGGCGGCGUGCCUAAUACAUGCAAGUCAACUGAAAUACCGGUAGCAAUACUGGUAUGGAGGUGGCGCACGGGUGAGUAACACGUAGGUAAUCUGCCUUCAGGUCUGACAUAACCCAUCGAAAGGUGAGCUAAUAUCAGAUGAUGCAGCGGCUUGACAUCAAGACAGUUGUUAAAGCUUCGGCGCCUGAAGAUGAGCCUGCGCUGAUUAGCUAGUUGGCGGGUAACGGCCCACCAAGGCUGCGAUCAGUAGCUGGUCUGAGAGGAUGAUCAGUCACACUGGAACUGAGACACGGUCCAGACUCCUACGGGAGGCAGCAGUAAGGAAUAUUGCUCAAUGGCCGAGAGGCUGAAGCAGCAACGCCGCGUGAGGGAU